rnacentral:lncRNA from 1 species
GGUAGCCACCACCCUUCACAGCAAAGCGGACGGAGAGGGGUCCCUUGAGCGGUGCCUUGCUGUCUUGUGUAAAGGUCUUGGCUGGUGACUCCUUCAUGUCGUCCAAAAAUUCCGCGGCGCCCUUUUCUCUGAUGGCCAGCUCAUGGAUGGGGAGGUUGGCGACAAGGACUAGGUGGGUGUACGUGGGGGUAGUGCCCUUGCCGACCGUCAAGGUCACACUGUUGCCGCACAAUCCAACAGCAAACAAUGCUGCCAGCGCUGCCAUUGCGAGCAGGAAGGAGGACGAGGAUGCCAUUGGUGACCUAAUAACUCAGUAGGAGUAACUUACCCUAUUUCCUGAUGGAUUGAGAGGGUGGGAGGGAGGGAUAUGUGCGGUGAUUGUUGUUGCGGAUUAUUACAUCAGCUGGCUGCUUAUUUAUGGGCUGUGUCGGCAAGAAAAUUAGGCAUGGACAUACGACAUGCCACCAAGAUCUCAGCCCGGCCGGCUUGUUUGUUGACGAAUACUUGUUCAAUUGCCCCAAAUAGAUGUGUGCUCAGUAGUCCAGCUUGUCUUCCUUUCAGGCAAAAGAAGCGCAGGACAUGCAGAUCUGUCAUGAAGCACUGGCCAUCCGACCCGUAUCUUUUUCUCUAGUACUAUUUUCAGUAAAAUACAGAAAAAGUCACACCGUGACCUACUUAAACAAAUAUAGUACUCUUUAUACCUUCAAAUAUAAGAGUUUACAUAUUCAAAAUUUGUUAUCUUUGACCACUAUUAUUAGUCUAAUCUACUGUAAAAAUUCUGGACCAAACAAUGAGGACCAGAUAUGGCCAUGUAACCAGUUAAUCCACAAACCGUUGGAUCUAGUAAAAGCAUAAUAUGGACCAUGGUGAGGCCCCUUCAGUCACUAUGCUUGAUCUCCAUCUACUCAGCUAAACUGCAGGAUCAAGUUGAAGAGGUAUAUGCCAUGAAACCAACCGUCUAGUAGUUGCAUAGGAUAAUAAUUCCAAGAUGUGACUAGAGCUAUCUUUAGUGUGGUCAUGAUAGUUGUUGAACACCCCUAACAUGAAAUGUGCCUUGUAAAAUGAACAUGUACAACGAGUAUCCAAAUAGGGUUAAAUAGUACGUAGUGGUUCCGGCUUCUCUUGUUGUCUGGGUGAUUUGAGGGAUCAUGACGCUAUUGCUCGUAUAUACUAUAUUUGGUGCAGACUACCGGACUAGCGAUCAUUCCUGUCAGCCGAAAACCGUCAGGAAUAUACACAAAACUGUCAGUAUUUAAUUCGACCGACUGGAAUUAUCUCUAGUCUGGUAGUGAGCACCACCAUGAUUGUAGGACUCCAUAAAAUAUGGUUCAAAUAUAUAACAUUUUUAAAAAUAAAUGAUUAUUGUAACAGCUGUACGAAAGCUUCGUCCCAUGAAUGUGAUUUUUCUGCUUGAUGAGUGUAGAAGUGAAAGACUAUCGAUAUACAUAUUAUGGGAAUACCCCUUGAGACUUUAUGUGUAUAUUUGUGCAGUGGCGGACUCAGGCCCUGGGUUGCCCAUGCUGCAUGCUGCCCGUGUCAUUGACCGAAAAAACAAUGGUAAAUCAUCUAAACAAUGAAAUAUUAAGACUCUAAUUUCUAUAGUUGUGGAACUUUCAUGUGUUAUUAGCCAAGAUCCUAGUGUCAUCUUGGAUCCACCCCUGUUCGUGCGAAAGCAGAUUAUUCACUACUGCAUAGAAUGUUUCUAGAGACGCCAAGGAAGCCUCUAUAUAAGUGGCUAGAAAUAAUUAAAUACAACUAUGCAAAUAUGAUUUCCAGUGAAAGCUCUGAAUCUAUACACCCUUAGAAAUACAAUCGCAGAUUUCACACAUCUCAUAAAAGAAAAGCAAGCAUCAUUUUUCGUGAAUUUGAAAAGCCCCGCCAGCCAGUCACAACUCACUAGUAAGAACAGACUUUCGGUUUUAGGCUUCAGUCUCAGCGGUCACUUUUAGACCGGGGACUACAGAAAGUAUUAGUCCAGGUUGGAGCUUCCAAUUGGGACUAAAGUCCCCCCUGCCAACAGAUAGAGCAGAGGGCUUUUUCAGCGUAGACAUUUAGUUCCGAUUUGUAGUUCAAAUCGGGACUAAAUGUCGCCUUCCAAUCCUGGGUGGUCCAACAAAAUGGGACCAAAGUUUUUAUCUCGGUUUGUGGCUCCAACCGAGACUAGUGGUUGAUCCAUCGGUCCAGGUAGGCUCUACCAUCCAGGACGAAACCGUCCCCACUAUAUAUAUCCGCUUCCACUAUCCCCCAACCCGAGACAGUUUCAAUUCUUCAGUCUUUUGCUUGUGUGCAUGUUCACCUGUUGUUCUUGUUUGGGGGAGCAAGUUCUUACUCCAGGCCGCCGGCUUCAUCAUUACCUUGAUUUCAUCAAUUCCUAAAUGCACCCAUGCCUGUUUUAUUAUUGUGGAGCCUCCUUCACAUACGGUCCAUCGGAACCGUAAAUGGUAUCAUCGUCAUCCUCACCAUCAUAUCCUUUGUUCUCGUCUGCUUUGGAAGGAGCAAUCCCUAGCUGUUGAACCCUCCCUGUCAUUGUGGACAUUUGCUUUUCCACACUCUCAGUGUGAUGACUGACGCUUCUGAUCUCAUUGCUUAUUAUGGUUACCUAUUGUAGCAUGAAAUCCUUCAGCUCCCGCAAAUAACAUUUCAAUGCAAGCUCAUUGGCAGGCAUGGUUAGUUACAAAACAAAACUCCCUAUGUACACUGAACUUAUAGUACUGAUCAUAUGGUAGUUCUAAUUGGCAUGAGGAAGCUACUUAUUGCAUUAAAUCAUCUGCAAAAAAACUCUAGUCAAUUUGGAUAUAAUUGUAUAAUGUGAAUGCAAAAUUUUAAAUUGAGAGAAUACUGAAUUUUAAUGUGAACUCAUAUGUCCUAUGCAAACUCGGCUUCUUCACAAACAAGGAUUAAUUACUAGCUAGCUAAAAAUUAGCUCUAUACAUCUGGAACAGCUGGACUAAUUUGUUAGAUAUAUAAGUGAUCAAAGGGAUCAUGACAUACUGCUGUGUAAGUUAUUUUGUCUUUUUAUUUUCCCUUUUUUAUUAACUUUAAUUAUAUUUUCCUCUAUAACCAAUGCAAGAAUUGCCGGUUGGGUUGCUUUCCCAUCUAUAUCUUUAUACACAUAUAUAGCAAAACACCACGAGACGUUUUGUCUCUUCGUAUGGUCUCAUUUGGCUGCACACAAUUAGAUCUGAAUCCACAUAGUUUGGGAGGGAUUGAGGUGGAAGUUAGUUUAAAUUCCACCUCAAUCCCUUUCAAACCAGGUGUAUUUGUGUGCAGCCAAACAAGACCUAAGGUAUUCACAUCAUUCUCCACUAACUGACCUCACUAGAUGUUCUAUCUCAUGUAAGGUAUCCGCAUCAUUCCCAACUAGAUGUCCUAGUAACUAGCAUUCCUUUCAUGCAAGCUUUAUAUCUCUUUUCUUGGAGAUCCUGUACACUGACGCACAGACAUAGGAAGGGACCCCGCCCUCCGUUGGCCUCACCGAACCUCCACCGGUGCUGCGGCAUGCAAGCUAGCCGUGCGAAAGCCGCCCUCCUCGCUGUCCUUGCGGUGGCCACGCCGAUGUGUACAUCGUCAGCUGGAAAGAGGACCUCUUUGUGCACAAGUUAGAGAGUGGCUGCUACUAGCCUACUACAUCGUUGGCACGCUCGUGGAGAAGCUCCACAAGUUGCUUGUCGAGUAGAGUAAUGGAUCUUGGAGAGCAUGGCCUCAUUGCACAUGAAUGCACAUGUUGCUGAGCGGUCGGACUAUAGUGGAUGGCGUACGAUCUUCCGAACCAUAGCCUCAUUGCUCUCCAUGAUGAAAGCGCGUGCCACGAACCGCACGUCACAGUGGCCGAGAACUCGUAUGAAGGAGCUGGACCGUGCGUCCACAAACUCCGCCACGAACUCUGGCUGCGGCGCAGCCUGCACCAGAGCCAAAGUAGGCGAGAAUCUGCAGCUCUCACAACCAGAUUUUUCAAUUUCUAUUAGUAGUGUGGGGUUCUCCUAGUGUUUUAGCAUUCAAAAUUUAGUAUAAACUUUCCCUAGUAAAUACCACCUAGUGAGGAUUCCCUAGUGUUUUGACUAGUGAUAGUGUUUUAUUACUAACUAAAAAUACUAGGAGAACUCCACCAUUUUGUUAGUGUCUGUUACGAACCACACGGCCCCGGCAUGCCCUCCUCAUGCUUGUCAACGUUCAUUACAUCCUCAGCGAUGCCAUGAAUUCCAGCGGCUUAUUAAUUAACACAACGCAUCAUAAUUUGUUGCAAUAUUUACACUUACUUGCAACCACAAUAAUAUUUAUCAUGGCCCUAACAGCUACCUCUCCCAACGGAUCUUACGACUGACAUGUACAACUCAGUAGUUUAGAUGUAUUAAGACCCACGUAUCACAACAACUUAUAGUCCAUGUUACAAAAGAUCCUCCUAUUGCAAUUAAAUUUGUGAUGCUGUGAAAACAAGUGUUUGGAUUAGGGUAAAACUUUUAUAGUGAUUGCAUAAUGUGUGUUAAAUAAAAGAUCACAAGUACAAAUUCAGUUUUCCGGACAUUUUGGACUUGCUAAAGAAGAUAAAAAAGCUUCACUGAUUUUGACACAAACAUGUAAUGAAACUUUAGAAAAAUCAUAUAUACACAGCUGUCUUGACAAUGAUUGACUCGAUAUCUUAUGCCAUAUAAAAAUAAUAUCGUAAAGUGUGUGUAUACAUAGCUCCACAACAAUAUGCAGGAGGAGAAGCUAGUAUACUUUAUUUUGCGGUAGAUUACCACAAAAUAACCACAGUAAAUGAAUUACUGGCCUGCUUAUUUAUAUCCUCAAUCUAUCUUACAGAAUAUAUAAUGGUAAAAAAAUUUCACUCAAUGCGAGACCAGAUGUGUGCCGAUUACUCAAUACGGGAUGUUAGUGUUGAUAACUGCGCCAGGCUUCAAUCCAACAGGGAAAAUCUCAUCCCUGUUGCGGUAGCCACCACCCUUCACAGCAAAGCGGACGGAGAGGGGUCCCUUGAGUGGUGCCUUGCUGUCUUGUGUAAAGGUCUUGGCUGGUGACUCCUUCAUGUCAUCCAAAAAUUCCGCGGCGCCCUUUUCUCUGAUGGCCAGCUCAUGGAUGGGGAGGUUGGCGACAAGGACUAGGUGGGUGUACGUGGGGGUAGUGCCCUUGCCGACCGUCAAGGUCACACUGUUGCCGCACAAUCCAACAGCAAACAAUGCUGCCAGCGCUGCCAUGGCCAGCAGGAAGGAGGACGAG